rnacentral:rRNA from 1 species
UACGUAGGGUCCGAGCGUUGUCCGGAAUUAUUGGGCGUAAAGGGCUCGUAGGCGGUUUGUUGCGUCGGGAGUGAAAACUUACAGCUUAACUGUGAGCGUGCUUCCGAUACGGGCAGACUUGAGGUAUUCAGGGGAGAACGGAAUUCCUGGUGUAGCGGUGAAAUGCGCAGAUAUCAGGAGGAACACCGGUGGCGAAGGCGACUACCUGGCCUGUUCUUGACGCUGAGGCGCGAAAGCUAGGGGAGCAAACGGG